GAACUGCGAUAAGUAAUGUGAAUUGCAGAAUUCAGUGAAUCAUCGAGUCUUUGAACGCACAUUGCGCCCCCUGGCAUUCCGGGGGGCAUGCCUGUCCGAGCGUCAUUGCUGCCCUUCAAGCCCGGCUUGUGUGUUGGGUCGUCGUCCCCUCCGGGGGACGGGCCCGAAAGGCAGCGGCGGCACCGCGUCCGGUCCUCGAGCGUAUGGGGCUUUGUCACCCGCUCGAUAAGGACCGGCCGGGCGCCAGCCGGCGUCUCCAACCUAUUUUUCUCAGGUUGACCUCGGAUCAGGUAGGGAUACCCGCUGAACUUAAGC
rnacentral:misc_RNA from 1 species